GUCUAAAAUGGCACACUUGCUGUGCGUUUCAAUGUGGAAUUCAAAUUGUGAACCAUUUGGAGCAAGCCAAACUAAUGUCUCUUUCCUGUCCACAGGCUUUGCAUCUUCUACAGAAUGGCCAAAUUGACUGUUACAAGGCUCACCUCGACAAAAUGGCUGCCAUCCUGUGGCGUUUGGGCCUUCCAAAUAUCGGGGUGCUCAGCCAUACGCUUGUACGGUUUGAAUAUUUAAGAGUCAAGCGCUAACGUUGCCGUGUCUUUCAGGCCAGCGUGCUGUCGAAGAAGCGUCCAGCUCUGCUCUCUUCACAAGUGAAACCAAAUCUUUUAAAGCGGUGCAAGUGCGAGUACUCGUAAUUGAGCGCAGGUGUCAAAUCCAGAAAUUUGAAAAGUUUGGUUUAACCACAGGCCCGCCCACUCAACCAGCUCCUGAGAGCUGGUUAAGUUCGGCGCACCUGUGGCUUUUCUGGCUCUCUCGCACACUGAGACACAAGAUCAGAUUCGGUGUCUGGCUUCCGCAAGACCUUGCUGAUGAUCUGAUCAUUUGAAUCGGGUGUUGCACCAGGGGGGAAACGGGUGGGAGAGUGACCCCAAGACAUUUACUCAGCAUUGCGUUUGUCCCGCUCUCAUCCACCAGGUGGUGCUGAAGAACCAGGUAACACGUUGUGAUGUCGCGUAAUUCCAAGCUCAGUCCUGGAACUGUUGGUUGGAGGCGGCGCCACGAUCCACCUGAUGUCAUGCACGCUGUCAGUGCAGCUUCCAGUCACACCCGCCACCUGCUGGGUAAAGAGACAAAUGCGACAAGAUUGUGUCUGAUCCGUUUUCAACGUUGCCGUACAAAGGUAUGAAAAAGGACCUGACGGGUCUCGUUUGUCACAUUGGCAGG